CGAUAAAAAAUGCCACCGGGAAUUUUCCCUUCAACAUUAAAAUGUUACCCGGGAAUUAAGUAAAUUUAUUAAAGAACAAAACAAAACUGGGUCUUAGGGUUAGGACAAUCCCCAAUUCUCCAUUCUUUCCUCGAUCUUUCAAUACGCAAAAAAAGAACGGCUAACAUAUCACAUGUUUAAUUCGUAGAUUUUGCUUAAUUCUUAGUGGAUAUUAUGCUUAGUAGAUUUUGCUGAACUCUUGUCUUCGCUAUUAAUCUGGGAACUCGUCUUUGUAGACUUCUUUACUAAGGUGUUUUCUGUGAAAUUGAUGCUUUACUUGGUAUAUUUUGGUGUGAAACUACUCCGUUGAAGGAAUCAGUAAGGAGCAGUCUCUGAUUCGAGUACAAUAUCUGUGAUUUUCAAGUUUUGCUAUUUUUGAGAUUUGAUUUUCUCCGAGCUUUGCUAUUUCUCCGUUGAAGGAAUCGAUAUUCUCCGUUGAAGGAAUCGAUAUUCUCCGUUGAAGGAAUCGACUGUUGUUGUUGUUGAAUGAGGAAUGAGGAAGGCAUUUGGAGUGUAUUGCAGUGGUUCCCCCAUUCAAUUGAGAAAGUUUUUGUUCUGCAAAAAACUUAGCUGGGUCGAUUCUUGAGGGCUUGGAUCGAUUGGCAACUUGAGGAUAAAAUUGGAAGCACAAUAAGAGUGUUGUUCAAUAGGAUCGUGGUUCUCUUGUCAUAUAAAUUCAAUCUCGGUGCUUCUGGACUGCGUUUAGCUAGUUUUAAAGUAUUUAUCUUUCUGAAGGUGUUAAUGCUUCAACAUGCAUAACUGCCAAAGUGAGAAGCCUUUGCAUAUGGAAACAACUUGUGGCUCUCUUCUCUCUGAGAUGCAGAAAAUAUGGGAUGAGAUGGGAGAGCCAGAUAUCGAAAGAGAUAUGAUGCUUUUUGAACUUCAACAAGAGUGCCUGGAGGUAUAUUGAAGAAAAGUGAAUCAGGCAAGUUGUUGCCGGGCUCAACUGCAGCAAGCUGUUGCAAGCUCUGAAGCAGAACUUGCAAAGAUAUGUAUAGCAUUAGGAGAACAAUCAUCGUACUCUAGGCAGGUUAUAGACAAACAAAAAUCUCUCCUUUGGAGCAUUCAACAAAACUUCAGGAUCUUUUGCUUGGUAUGUAGAACUUUUUUAACAUCGGGAGCUUCCUUACAUAGAAGAGUACCAAAAAUUUGAAGGAAGAGCUUGAGGCUAUUAAGCCUCAGCUAUAAGAGGUGAAGAGGAGAAAAAGAGAGAGGCUUAACCAAUAUGCAGCAUGUUGUCGACCAGAUUCAGUCUAUCUCGAAAGAGCUUUGUUUACACUUCUAAGAGAAGGAACAAAUGAGUGUAAUUGAUGAGAAUGAUUUGUCUGUCAAAAGAAGGCUUUUUCUGUUUCAUCUCUUUGCUUGCUUCGAUAUCUGCAUGUUUUAAAUAGAGAUUACUGUAUUGAAUAAAAGAGAUAAAAAGUUUCAACUUUUGCAAAAUGAGUUCGGUAAACUCUCACUUCACAGACAUAUAAGAACUGCUUAGAAUAGAGGAACAACAAUAUUUCCUCUGCUAUAGAGAAUUUCAAGAGUUACUGUUUGUCUAACAGAAUCUUGUAAACAUUUUCAGAGUGACCGCCUAAAGCUGCUGGUUGAACACUUGACAACUAUCAAUUUUUUAACUAUUUCUAUAAACCUCAGGUACAUAUACUGCUCUUCAGCUGGUGUAUACCUCAAAACUGAUUAUUUACCACACUUUGAGGUGAUCAUGACUUAAAAGAUGGUGGGAACGAAAUUGAUGAACUAGACCUGACCUAAGAGAUCGAUCACAUUGGCUUCAUGUCACACUAGCUGUUGGAAAAACUUGUGUAUGUUUUGAUUGAGAUCGAUCACAUUUGACCGAGUAUACGUAGUUUCAAACAUCUUUUAUUUGAACAUUCAAAACUUGUGUAUGUUUUGAAUUUUUUGAAUGGUUAAAAAAUAUUUGGUUUCUUA